rnacentral:tRNA from 1 species
GGGGACGUAGCUCAGUUGGGAGAGCACCUGCUUUGCAAGCAGGAUGUCGGCGGUUCGAGUCCGCUCGUCUCCA